rnacentral:rRNA from 1 species
UGGGGAAUAUUGCACAAUGGGCGCAAGCCUGAUGCAGCCAUGCCGCGUGUAUGAAGAAGGCCUUCGGGUUGUAAAGUACUUUCAGCGGGGAGGAAGGGAGUAAAGUUAAUACCUUUACUCAUUGACGUUACCUGCAGAAGAAGCACCGGCUAACUCCGUGCCAGCAGCCACGGUAAUACGGAGGGUGCAAGCGUUAAUCGGAAUUACUGGGCGUAAAGCGCACGCAGGCGGUUUGUUAAGUCAGAUGUGAAAUCCCCGGGCUCAACCUGGGAACUGCAUCUGAUACUGGCAAGCUUGAGUCUCGUAGAGGGGGGUAGAAUUCCAGGUGUAGCGGUGAAAUGCGUAGAGAUCUGGAGGAAUACCGGUGGCGAAGGCGGCCCCCUGGACGAAGACUGACGCUCAGGUGCGAAAGCGUGGGGAGCAAACAG